rnacentral:rRNA from 1 species
AUGCAUCUAGAUUCCACCCAAUGUGUAUUAUGUGAUGCUGAAGAUUAUGAGGACAGAAUGCAUCUUCUCUUCUCUUGCCCAUUCAGUCAGGGAUUUUGGUGGAACAUUGGUCUUGAAUGGAACAUUGACCUGAAUUUCCAUGAUAUGAUUAAUGAAGCUCAUCAAAGAUAUAAACAACACCAUUUCAUGGAAAUUUUAAUUAUUGGAUGCUGGAGCAUGUGGAAUCAAAGAAAUGAUUUGAUAUUCGAAGGAAUCCCUUGCUCUAUCAAUGAUUGCAGAUAUGAAUUUAUCAAGACUUUCAAAUUGACAAUGCUAAGAGCCAAGACCAGUUUAAAGGAGGGAAUGUCUUCCUGGAUUGAUAACAUCUAA